rnacentral:lncRNA from 1 species
UUUUUUAAUCUUAUUUUGUGAUGUUGCACAGAUCCCUGUGAGAAAAAUAUUCAGCAUUGUUUCUCUCGUAUUUAUGAUUAGAAGCCUAAAGAAGAUGGCAUCCAGCAAGCCAUGGACUGCACAUGGAGGAAGACUUCUUUGGCGUGUGUGAAAAGGCUGUUUCACGGCCAAGGAGCUAUAGAGCUCCUUUCCACAUCUGUGGCAUGCAAAGGAAAGCCCGGUAUUACAGUGCAGAGCCCAAAAUGAAGGCUGGGAUCUGCAGUUGUUCCUUCCCCCGCCUGGCACAAGGCUCCUGUGGUUCAACGGCUGUUUUACCUGCAGAAGAGAAAUUCAGUGCAUCCUACUAGGAUGAAUUCAAGCCUAAACAACCCUGUUCCUGAAUUUCUUUGUCUACAUCAUGCUCUGUUCACUGCUUCGCAGAAGAUUUAAUAUCGCACAGAAGAGAGAAAUGAAAUCUGUAUUUAAAUGGCUGUGGAACAUUGUGCAUUUAAAGUGCACAGCAAGUCACUCCCUAAAGCACUCCAUAUGAUUUAUUUCCAGUGAUGCACAGCACAGUCCCUCCUGGAGGUAGACAAGCAAACCCUGCCUUCCGGAACUAGAGGUUUCUCUCUUUGGGACACCAGCAUCUCGUAUGUCAGCCUAGGAGAUGCAAAGACUAUAAGCUCACAGCAUGGGAGAAUGAGAUUUUGCUGUUUCUUGCAAAUGAAAACAGCCCAAAGUCUGGAACUGCACAAAGUUGGGCUGUUGCUUCCUGCAGAGGUGAUCCUGGAUCUCUGGAACCCCCCAGAACGUGGAGGCACAAUCGCAAAGCAGCAGAAGAAAUAGACAGCAAUAUAAACACCGCUCACGCUUUGCUUCUGUGCUGCUCCUCUUCGCCAGAUGUGUGCAGGUUGGGUUUUUGCAUUUUGGUUGUCUUCCUGGG